AACCAUAGAAACCUGCGGAGUACCUGCGGAGGGAUCAUUACCGAGUUUACAACUCCCGAACCCCUGUGAACAUACCACUUGUUGCCUCGGCGGAUCAGCCCGCUCCCGGUAAAACGGGACGGCCCGCCAGAGGACCCCUAAACUCUGUUUCUAUAUGUAACUUCUGAGUAAAACCAUAAAUAAAUCAAAACUUUUAACAAUGGAUCU
rnacentral:misc_RNA from 1 species